UGCAACUAAGAAUAAUAAUAUCAAUUAAUAUAAUUUACCUUGUUUAUCAUUAGAAUAAAAGUAAAACCCACCAGUCAGUCAAUGUACGCCAUUACGCAAUAAAAAAUUAUCUAUAAUGUUCACAAUAAAGACCGUUACAUUAACAUAAUAUGACAGAGGAAUUUAUAUAAGCCAUUUCAUUAAACCGAUCAUUCAGUCUGUCAUCUUCGGGCGUCAUGAAGUUCCUGGGACUCUUCGUGUUUCUAAUAUUCGUUGUGGCAAGUUCCAUUGAAGACGUAAUCAAGGAUGGCAAAGAACUGUCCACAAUAGUUGGAGCUGAUGAGCAAGGAAGAGGCAUAAAUUCCCAAAGGCAAAUGAGGGGCGGUAUUGUGCUAAACCUAUUAUGCAGUGAUGAUAGGAGUGUGCAAAAAUGUCCGUUCUUGAAAGCUGUAUGCGGAACAAGCGCAAGUAGGUAACGGUGGUGAUUCUGGUGAUGGUGCCGGUGCAGGCGCAGAUUUUAAAGGCUUGGGUUGAAUAUAAAAUGGCGAUGCAUACGGACCGACGGAGUUUAUAGACAAAUAAAUUAAUAAUAUAAAACUUUUUCAAAUACUGUAGAAUGUCAUAAAAUGGUAAUUUUAUUAAAUAAAAUAAUUGU